UACGUAGGGUGCAAGCGUUGUCCGGAAUUAUUGGGCGUAAAGAGCGUGUAGGCGGCUUGAUUAGUCUGCUGUGAAAGUCCAGGGCUCAACCCUGGAAUGCCGGUGGAUACUGUCAAGCUAGAGUCCGGAAGGGGCGGGUGGAAUUCCUGGUGUAGCGGUGAAAUGCGCAGAUAUCAGGAGGAACACCAAUGGCGAAGGCAGCUCGCUGGGACGUGACUGACGCUGAGACGCGAAAGCGUGGGGAGCAAACAGG
rnacentral:rRNA from 1 species